GACGAACGCUGGCGGCGUGCUUAACACAUGCAAGUCGAACGGAAAGGCCCUGCUUUUGUGGGGUGCUCGAGUGGCGAACGGGUGAGUAACACGUGAGUAACCUGCCCUUGACUUUGGGAUAACUUCAGGAAACUGGGGCUAAUACCGGAUAGGAGCUCCUGCUGCAUGGUGGGGGUUGGAAAGUUUCGGCGGUUGGGGAUGGACUCGCGGCUUAUCAGCUUGUUGGUGGGGUAGUGGCUUACCAAGGCUUUGACGGGUAGCCGGCCUGAGAGGGUGACCGGCCACAUUGGGACUGAGAUACAGCCCAGACUCCUACGGGAGGCAGCAGUAGGGAAUAUUGCACAAUGGGCGGAAGCCUGAUGCAGCAACGCCGCGUGCGGGAUGACGGCCUUCGGGUUGUAAACCGCUUUCGCCUGUGACGAAGCGUGAGUGACGGUAAUGGGUAAAGAAGCACCGGCUAACUACGUG
rnacentral:rRNA from 1 species